rnacentral:lncRNA from 1 species
GGUAUUCGUUGAGCCUUUAGCCGACUCUUAAUCCCUCUAAUGAUCCAAUUGGGGUGAUGGGGCUUCGUUAGUACCUACCAUCAAAUUAACAUUUCCAUAAUGUCAAUUUACAUACUAUAAACCCUAAAAGCUAUUUUUUAGCUAGCUUUCAAUUGCCAUUUAAAUGGCCAUCCAUCAUCACUUUCCUAUCACUCCAUAGUGAAUUAAUAAUGUCAACUACAAAAUAUUCACAAAUCAAAUCUCUAGUCAUUCUCAACACUUAAAACCCAAUACUAGUUUACUACUCACCUUAAUAGAUUUGUAACUUUGAACUUCUUUCCAAAAGCUCUCAAGCUAUUAAUAAAGCUUCCUCUUUCUCUCUCUAAAACACCUAACUAGUGAGAGAGUAUGGAAACAAGAUUUUCAUCAUUUUCAAGGGUUUUAAAGUGAGAGAGUGGAAAAAUACAAGGGUUCUAGUCAAAAGGGC